GGACACUCCAACUGCUACAUCCAUUUCUCUAAUACCAAUCCCAGAAACAAAACACACAAUGUAUACCAAGUCUUGUACAUCAAACACAUGAUCACCAUUCAUGAAACCAUUAAUGAAAAACUCAUGAAUACAUACAUCCUUUCAAAACUGUAAAGCAUAACCAUUAUUCAGAUCCUAUUAACCAUUCUAGUUAUUGGUUCAGUUUAAUAUGCAACUAUGAUCAUGUUGUUCCUCGAGAAUGCAGUUAUUGAAGGAAGAAAUUCAACAUGAGUGGACCUUAUGGUCUAGUCCUUCAAUAUAUGACAAAAAACGGGUGACUAGUUCUAUACUUUGCAGAGGUGAAAAUCUGUGAGGAAACAUCUAUGCUGCUUUGCUUAUGAUCAAAUAUUUUUCCUACAAUAUCAGGUACCUGUACUCAUCAACAAACUAGACAUCAUAGUAGUUAAAUCAAGAUGCAAAUUGUGAAUCAGAUGACUAGUUUCUGAACCGUGAAUCAAAUCUUAUUAUAAAUCGUAAGAUACAUGAUACAAAAUGACACUCUUUUAAGUAAAAACAACAGAAACAGAAACAUGAGCUAAUAUAUCAUUAAAUCAAUAGCCUUCCUAUGAGACUCAUUCCACAUGAAUCGUGCCGCUGCCGCCGUGUGAUCUCCCUAUCCAUUAAACAGUAAUCAAAAGAAAGCAACGACCUGCGACCGUUGUCCUUUAUUGCUUCUAAGCUCAAAGCAUGAAAUUACUAAAUAGAAUUACAGCUAACAAUGCUGCAAAUUCUAAAAGUAAGUUGGAAAAA